rnacentral:rRNA from 1 species
UGAGCAGAAAAAUACAGGGAGCUAAGAGGUACACGGAACGUCACAUCUGAAUUUGAGGUGAAGGGGAGGAAGGCGUUCUAGUCGGCGUAGAAGUGGGACCGGGAAGGUGCGUUGGAGCGGAUAGAAGUGAGCAUGAAGGCAUGAGUAGCGAUAGUUGAGGGGAGAAUCCUCAACGCCUAAAACCCAAGGUUUCCUACGCGAUGCUCGGCAUCGUAGGGUUAGUCGGGACCUAAGUCGAGUCCGAAAGGUGUAGACGAUGGCAAAUUGAUUAAUAUUUCAAUACCAACAUAUAAGCGCGAUGUGGGGACGCGGAGAGUUAAUCGAGGUCACUGAUGGAAUCGUGGCUCGAAGGACGUAGGCUGUUACUUAGUCAAAUCCGGGUAACGUUAGGCCGAGAUCGUACAGGCUCUUGACACUCUUCGGAGGAGAUGGAGAAUCGAUGAUAC